GGGGGAAUUUUGGACAAUGGGGGAAACCCUGAUCCAGCCAUCCCGCGUGUGCGAUGAAGGCCUUCGGGUUGUAAAGCACUUUUGGCAGGAAAGAAACGUCAUGGGUUAAUACCCCGUGAAACUGACGGUACCUGCAGAAUAAGCACCGGCUAACUACGUGCCAGCAGCCGCGGUAAUACGUAGGGUGCAAGCGUUAAUCGGAAUUACUGGGCGUAAAGCGUGCGCAGGCGGUUCGGAAAGAAAGAUGUGAAAUCCCAGAGCUCAACUUUGGAACUGCAUUUAUAACUACCGGGCUAGAGUGUGUCAGAGGGAGGUGGAAUUCCGCGUGUAGCAGUGAAAUGCGUAGAUAUGCGGAGGAACACCGAUGGCGAAGGCAGCCUCCUGGGAUAACACUGACGCUCAUGCACGAAAGCGUGGGGAGCAAACAGG
rnacentral:rRNA from 1 species